rnacentral:ncRNA from 1 species
CAAAAGUUUUAUUUUUCCUUAAUAAUUAGGUUUUAUUUUAAUUUAAAUGUAAAUUUUGGUAUAUAUAAAUUUUUAAAAAAUUUUUUUAUUGCAAUAAAUAUUAUUAAAUAUUAAAGAAAUUUAGAUUUAGUGAUAAUAAAAAACAUUAACAAAAUUUGUGCCAGCAGUUGCGGUUAUACAAAUAAUGUAAUUUAAUUUUAUUAGUAUUAAUUAAUUUAUAAUUAAGUAAUUAUAAUUAAAAAUUAAAAAGGUGAAAUUUAUAAUUUUUAUUUAAAUUAUAAAGUUUUAAUGAAGUUAAGAAAUUUAUUUAAUAAACUAGGAUUAGAUACCCUAUUAUUAUAAAUGUAAUUUUUAAUAACUAAAUUAGUAUUAGUUAUGUUCUUGAAAAUUAAAGAUUUUGGCGGUAUUUUAGUCUAUUCAGAGGAACCUGUUCUGUAAUUGAUAAUCCACGAUUUAAUUUACUUUUUUUAUUAGUUUACAUAUCAUCGUAAUUGAAUAUUUUAUAAGAAUAAUAAUAUUCAAGAAUUUAUAUAAAAAAAUAAGUCAGAUCAAGGUGUAGUUUAUAUUAAAGAAGAAAUGGGUUACAUUAAAUAUAAUUUAGGAUUAUUAUUUUUAAAAUAAUAUUAAUUUGGAUUUGAAAGUAAUUUUAAUUAAUUAAUUAAUUUGAUUUUAGCUCUAAAAUAUGCACAUAUCGCCCGUCGCUUUCAUUAUAAUAUGAGAUAAGUCGUAACAAAGUAGAUUUACUGGAAAGUGAAUCUAGAAAGUU